GCGAAAGGAAGUUCACUGUAGAGGUUACUUACUGAGUGUUAAUCACUCAUCCUAUCACCUCGGGGAAGGUCUGAGACAAGAGCCAAUCGCUGUCUUCACAGGACGUCAUCUGAACAGAUGAGCGAGCGCACAGGAAAGAUGGGUCAGAACGCGGAGCUAACGCACGAGACGUUGGAACGCAGGAUAGCGAGCCAGCUGAUGCGAUCCCCGUUGACUUGGAAACGCUCGCGGCUGGCGCAAUGAGUUCAAUGUGUGAACUGGCACGAGAUGCUAGAACCCAAUUCAGACUACUCUCCUAUCGC
rnacentral:RNase_P_RNA from 1 species